UUGGAAACGCGAACCACAGUGCCCUAUGUGAACAUGCAAUUAGAACGAAACAAGAACCGAAGUGGAAUGAAGUUGAAAUUUUGUUCAAAGAUCGCAACCACAAAUCCAGACAAAUCAAAGAAAUGAUCGGAAUAAAGAAGACGCAAAACAAUAUCAACAAAAAAACGGACACCCUAUUUCUAUCAACAAUUUACAAUGACUUACUGGGUCUGAAAGCAGAAGAAAAUCUGACAAUGACAUUGAAUGUGAAUCAGAAUAGAGACAGCUGAUGUUGUUUGACAAUAUCGAGUAAACAAACAAAGAACGAAAAGUGAUUGAACCUAGUCAUGUUCAUAGAAAAAUCUGUGAUAAAUUAUAUGACGAAACUGUAAAGUCAGUAAAAUUUAGCCACUGAAGAUGCCAUCCAAUGUGAUGAGCGAAAUAUUUGGCGGAAAAUAAAAACAGAUAGAACACUGAGCUACAUCGUCUUUUCUUCAAGAAAAGAAACAGAAAACAUAAAAAAUCGACAGCUCAUUGAGUCGAACUUUUCACUC